rnacentral:rRNA from 1 species
GACGAACCGUGCGAACGUUGUUCGGAUUCACUGGGCUUAAAGCGCGCGUAGGCGGACCUGCAAGUCGGGGGUGAAAGCCCGAGGCUCAACCUCGGAACUGCCUUCGAUACUGCGGGUCUCGAGUCCGGGAGAGGUGAGUGGAAUUCCUAGUGUAGAGGUGAAAUUCGUAGAUAUUAGGAAGAACACCAGUGGCGAAGGCGGCUCACUGGCCCGGUACUGACGCUGAGGCGCGAAAGCGUGGGGAGCAAACAGG